rnacentral:rRNA from 1 species
AUGCACUUCCAUGACAGAGACAACUUGGAGAGAUCAGUUUGCAUUUCAGACAUAACAUAUUAUAAUUUGGUUGCCCUAAUAGAGACAGAGGGAUAUGGGCUUAAUGAUUUCAUGUAUUUUGUGAGGGAUCCUGGUGUUGGGAUUACAGGAAUGGAUGAAAUUUGUGAUGAUGAUAAGGUGGAUGAAAUGCUUGACCAUAUUGCUAACAAUGAUCAGCAUGUAGUGAACUUGACAGUGGUUAGGGGCACUGAUCCAAGACCUGCAGAUUUGAACUCAGGCUAUCUGGUUGAGGAGCAGGUUCCUUUGAGCCAUAUAGGAGAGAACCCUGUGUAUGUAGUAAAUCCUUCUAGUGUUCUCUUAAGAUCACCACCAAAAAGUAUAAUAUAG